rnacentral:tRNA from 1 species
GGGAAGGUAGCUCAGUGGUAGAGCGUUUGCCUUGCAUCCAUGAGGCCCUGGGUUCGAUUCCCCAGCACCA